rnacentral:rRNA from 1 species
AGAGUGAACGCUGGCGGCAGGCCUAACACAUGCAAGUCGAACGGCAGCACAGGGGAGCUUGCUCCCUGGGUGGCGAGUGGCGGACGGGUGAGGAAUGCGUCGGAAUCUGCCUUUUCGUGGGGGAUAACGUAGGGAAACUUACGCUAAUACCGCAUGCGACCCCGUUCCGGGAGGAUCGGGGUGAAAGCGGGGGACCUUCGGGCCUCGCGCGGAAAGAUGAGCCGACGCCGGAUUAGCUAGUUGGCGGGGUAACGGCCCACAAGGCGACGAUCCGUAGCUGGUCUGAGAGGAUGAUCAGCCACACUGGAACUGAGACACGGUCCAGACUCCGUACGGGAGCAGCAGUGGGAAUA